CUAAAAAAAUUAUAUCUUUUAUAAAAAUUAGCCUACUACACCAAAAAGUUCUUGUUGCAAAUUUUAAUCAAUGUAACUUUUAACCACCAUUAUUUCUACCUAUGAUUUUAGUUCUACAAGAAAAAAAAUUAUAAAUUUGCAUAAUUUUUAUAUUAAUAUCAAUAAAAUCUGAAUUCCUAUCAAUUCCAUUAUCACUUAAAAAUUGCAUGUACUACAUCUAUUUAUCUAGACAAUUAUAUCUACACUUGAUAGAUCUGGUAGUAUUAAUCACAAUGACUUGUUAUCAAACUUUUGUAAUUUCUAACUUUUCAUAAGAAAUUCUUCUUGUCCAAUUAAGCUUACUAAUUAAAUUUUAAUUUUUACUUCUAAAUUUACAAUUUCAAAAUUAAAAUUAUAAAUUCAUGUACUAUAUUUACUAAAUAAAACAAAAAUAUCUAUUUUAGCUGGACCUACAAGUACUUAUUAUAUUAAUUCAUCACCACACUCUUAAAAUUUUUAAUUUUUUAUGAAAAAAUACAAAAAAAUAAAAAAAAUAAAAAUAAUAAAAAUAUUAAUCUCUAUACCAAUUUAAAACUCUUUC
rnacentral:lncRNA from 1 species